rnacentral:rRNA from 1 species
UACAGAGGUGGCAAGCGUUGUUCGGAAUUACUGGGCGUAAAGGGCGCGUAGGCGGUUCGUUAAGUCCUGUGUGAAAUCCCCCGGCUCAACUGGGGAACUGCACAGGAAACUAGCGGGCUUGAGUUCGGGAGAGGGAAGCGGAAUUCCGGGUGUAGCGGUGAAAUGCGUAGAUAUCGGGAGGAACACCUGUGGCGAAGGCGGCCCCCUGGUUGGAUACUGACGCUGAUACGCGAAAGCGUGGGGAGCAAACAGG